GGGCCCUGUCAUGGCACCCUAUAUUAUUCUACCACCUGUAACCCUAAAACCCUCCCUAAUCUGGUCAUCUAUGUCUCUAGCUUUCCAAGCUAUCUGCUUAGCUACAACGCUUUCUCUUAGCUGUCCACGUGAUCCUUCAUUUAAUAAUACACAGCGAGGUUAAUUUGUUUUCUUGUCUGUAUGAUUCCCUGCUUCAAGCAUCUGCCUCUCUUCUCAUAUCCACUCCGGCCCCCUUAUCCAUAUAUUUAAGCGAUCCCCUGGUUCACGAACUCUAGGGUUUCUUUUCUUUCUUUUCUCCGGUUAUUUCUUGUUUUAUGCUCUUGUUGAUCAUCGAUGUUUUCUCUUUUGAGCCUUUUUAUAUAUAUUCUCAUCUCUUUUGAAAAUUUUCCUUUUUUCUUUCAACCAGAUUUUUGUGAUCAUUAUCCUGUGUUUUUUCCUUUCUGCUUCUGCUGCUUUUUUCUCUUGAAGAGAAUCGUCAAAUUAAGCUGUGUUCAUGGAGGCAAGAGCUGCAGAAUUCACAAGGGAAAAGGUGAAGCUGCCAGCAUGAUCUAGCUUUGGUUAGAGGGAAAGAGAAGGGUUGAUUUUACUAACCCUAACUAGGUCAUGCUCUGACAGCCUCACUCUUUCCUAUUUGGGGACACAAAUGCAAUAGAUUCCAAACAUCCCUCAAAUCUGAUGGAAAGGUCACAGCGUUAUUGGAGAAUUUUCCUAUGACAGUUGGGUGCAAAUUUGUAUGUUGGACUCUUUUUUUUCCCUUCUUUUAACCCAAUCAUGCAAGUUUCCUGGAUUAUCUAAUUUAUAUUGCUAAUUUUACUGUUUGUAUGAUAUUUACUAUUCAUUGUAUCUCUUUGGCUAUUCACUGACUUUUCUUUGUUUCAGUUCUACUCAUUUUCGAUUUCUUUUGCAUCUACAAGAUAGUUAUACUGUUACAUGUUUCAUUAAACGAUGAAGUAUCCGUUCCUAUACAUCUACUGGCAAGUUCUCAAUCUUCCUUUCUUAUUUUCCUUGGUUAGCGUGAAGAACAGAAGAUUAAUCAGGCUUUAUUUAUCUGCAGAAAAUCAUUUGUAUUUGAAAAAUAUUUAUUAAACCAAAAAAAUUAUUGCAUCAUUAUGAAGCAUUAAGGAAAUGAAAAUCCUGUAAGGAAAAAAGAAAUUUUCUUGCUGGAAGAAUGAAACUUCUUUUCCUUUUUUCCUCGUUAAUUACUGUGUUCAAUGUAAUUUUAUCUUUUACAUGAACAAGGCUUCAUUGCCUAUAUGUUUGAUACUGAUGAAAUCUAGAACAAGGAACGAACAUCUCUAUGCGGAUGUUUAAGGCUUGAAGCUGAGCUGGUAUUUUACUGGUGUGUCCAAUAUUAUCUGUUAAUUUUGGCAACACAAUCAAUCUAAAUGGAAUCAAAGACUUGGUGCCAUUAAAUCAGUUACUUGAAUUUCAACCUUCAGUAUUGUGCUUUCUGUGUUUUCUUUUUUUCUUGGUUUAUAUUCAUAAACGAUUAGCAAAGGCUUGGGGUCCAAUGCAAGGUAGACUGUUCUGUUGUAGGAACAUAAACUGGAAUUCGAGAAAAUAAGGCAGCUCGAGGUAUAAUAUUCCUACCCCAAAACGCAAGGCUCGUAGGGCUAAGAGCUCGAGAAACUCUAGCGUGUUUUAUCAUAUAUAAAUCCCACAAAGAUUAUAAAAACACAGAGUUCAAGAGCUUCAUAUAUAAUAGAGUUCAAUGUGGAUCUAAAGUUAUUUCGGUUUUGAGAGAUAGAUUCAAAAGCAUUAGCUAAUGCUUUCUAAACUUCGAAGGAAGAAGAAAGUCCAAUGAGGUAUGGAAAAAUUUCUUCAGAAACAGAGAAAGAUCACCUAUUAGAGCAACAUCUGAUAUUUUUGAAACUAUAUAUCAUAGUCAGGACAAAAGUGAGUUCAAAGGUUAUAGACGAAGCGAUAGUUUUAUGGUUUUGGCUGGAAAAGCAGAAGAGCACUCAACAAAUCCAUGAAUUUUUUGAUAAAUUGAUAAAGGAGUGAAUUGAGUUUUCUAGGCAAGCUAGUUUUUGGUAUUCAAUUUUAUGGAAAAAGUGCGAUGAGCAAAAGCUGGAGAUGAAGAAAUGGGGGAGGUUACGGCUGAUUGCGUACUGUUUGAAGAAUUCAAAAUGACAAAAGAUUGAAUGACUUUGAAUCAUGUACCCUCUCCUCUAUUCGGCUUUGAUUACUGUCAUAGUCUGCAGAAUAUGUUCCAAAAUUUUUAUAUUUAAAUCAUAAAAUUGGAAAGAACGUUACAUUGGAAAUCUUAUUUUAAUGGAUUUUAUUUUUUAAUUGAA